UACGUAGGGUGCAAGCGUUGUCCGGAAUUAUUGGGCGUAAAGAGCUUGUAGGCGGUUUGUCGCGUCUGCUGUGAAAUUUCGGGGCUCAACCCCGAACUUGCAGUGGGUACGGGCAGACUAGAGUGUGGUAGGGGAGACUGGAAUUCCUGGUGUAGCGGUGGAAUGCGCAGAUAAUCAGGAGGAACACCGGUGGCGAAGGCGGGUCUCUGGGCAGUAACUGACGCUGAGGAGCGAAAGCGUGGGGAGCGAACAGG
rnacentral:rRNA from 1 species